rnacentral:rRNA from 1 species
AUGGCUUUCCACCAAAGAUCGACAAGUUUGCCUUCUAGGCCUCACGUCAGUGAGACCGAAGUUGAGCAAGAGCUCCACAGCCUAGAAGCAAGCAUCUCUUCCUCCAAUUCCAUCAGCACGAUGUGCGAUGGUCUCAGGACUCUUGCAAGCAUCUACGAUGGUCUUGAUGAGAUCAUUUGCCUACCAAGCCACCAAGUUUGCUCCUCCCAGCAGAGGAAGAUGUUGGAUGGAGAGAUGGAAUGCUCCGUUGAGCUGUUAGAUCUCUGCAACAGCAUGCAAGAGACCUUCUCCGAGAUGAUGGUCAUCAUCCAAGAGCUGCAGCUGGCUCUAAGAAAAGGAGAUGAUGCAGCUGCUCAAGCCAAGAUCCAGUCCUUUACUCGCUUGGCGAAGAAGGCCAGGAAACAUUUCAAGAAGACUGCCAAGAAGCCUGCAUCCGACAAGAUGGUCAUGCUAUUGACCAACGCAAGAGGGAUCUGCAUCUCUCUGUUGGAGUCCACACUCCAUCUCUUGUCGAAGCAAAUUGAAAUGCCAAAGCAGUCCCUUGUCUGCAAGGCAUUUUACAAGAAGCAGAAGGCCGUUGUUUGCGAGGAGGAGCAAUUGCAGGAGUUAGAGUGCAGCAUCCAAAAUCUUCAGAAUGGAGCAGGAAAUCUGUUCAGGAAAUUAGUCCAGAACAGAGUUUCUCUUCUAAACAUUCUUAGCUCAUAA